CCUGCGGACGCUUGCAAGGCUACCUCGGUGUCUCGGUAGACUGAAGGCUGGCUCCCGCGCUACUGCUGUUGUCCAAUUCCUGGAUCUGUGCAAAAGAGCACAUAAUGUACUAUCAACACAACCGACCCCAUGUGUUGGCAAGUGCCUAGCCUAACCUCGGUGAAGUAGUGACUAGGCUAGGAACAGACUACCAAAUAACCUGUACAGUUCAAAUAUCUAUAUAUACAGCGAAAAAGAAAUACAUGAAAUAAUCAGUCAAUGUGGGAAGGGGAAACAUACUGUGGAGAGGUAACAGUUCCAAAUAGAAAACCUCAAUAAAAGAAAGAAACAACAAAGCCAAAAUAUCAACAAGAAUCAGAAUUCAACAAUUUGCACGACAUCACCCUUUGUGCUUUUACUAUCGUCCUCACCCAAACAAUAUUUAUAAUAAAAAUGUGCACGCCAUCACCCUUCGUGCUUUUACUCUCGUUCUCACCAAAUCAAUUGUAUCAUAAUAAUGUGCACGACAUCAUCCUUCGUGCUUUUACUCUCUUUCCUUACCACAUAGUCAAUGAAUAUUGGUAUGGAAUGGUACAUCAUAUGAUACGGCAUCACCCUUCGUGUUUUAUACUCUUUCCUCACAAUAACAAACAAUGCACGACAUCACCCUUCGUGCUUUAACACUCUUCCUCACCCAAACAACAAUCACAAACAAAGGGGCAAGGGAUUAAACAAAUAAUAAUAAUAGAAAUCCCGGCAAGAGAAUACAAUUAAACAGCUAAAUCCCGGCAAGAGAAUACAAUUAAACAGCUAAGUCCCAUCAAGGGAACAAUAUCAAUAAAUCUCACCAUCCCGGCAAGGGAGAUAAUCAGCAAGGCAACAAGCAUCCCGACAAGGGAACAAUUCAAUAACUCUUUCUCAUUCUUUUACUUCUUACUUUAUUACUCACUUUACCACUUGAGCCAAUGCUCCAAAGGGUUCCAUUUAUCUCAUAUACUUUCACAAUUCGUAUUACCACUCGAGCCAAUGCUUCUCGAAGUUCAAAGAUCACAAUUUCUUUCACGUGCUUUUUACAACAUAUAGAAAUCAUCAUUAAGGCAUGAAAGAUACAACAAGAUCAGAAUAUCCGCAAUAUAAAGAAUCACGGUCAUGCUAGACACCAACGUAUAGAUACUCAUCACCAUGCCUAUACGCCGUACUCGACAAUUAGCACGUAGCAAAUAAGACUCAACUUCUAAUCCCUCACGCUAAGGUUAGACCAAACACUUACCGCGAAGCUUUGAACACCACUCAAGCCUCAAUUAUAGCUUUACCCCCUUGAUUCCACCACCAAUCCGCUGGAAUCUAGUCACAAGUUACUUAAUUACAUCAAUAAGUGCUAAAUGAAUCAACCCCAAUGCAUGAAAAUGAGUUUUCCCAAAGUUUUUCCCAAAAGGUCAAAAUCACC
rnacentral:lncRNA from 1 species